AGGACGAACGCUGGCGGCGUGCUUAACACAUGCAAGUCGAACGAGGCGCUUGCGCCUAGUGGCGAACGGGUGAGUAACACGUGAGCAACCUGCCCUUGGCUCUGGGAUAGCCUCCGGAAACGGGGAUUAAUACCGGACAUGACCUUCUCCUGCAUGGGGGAGGGUGGAAAGUUUUUCGGCCAGGGAGGGGCUCGCGGCCUAUCAGCUUGUUGGGGGGGUAACGGCCCACCAAGGCGACGACGGGUAGCCGGCCUGAGAGGGCGACCGGCCACACUGGGACUGAGACACGGCCCAGACUCCUACGGGAGGCAGCAGUGGGGAAUAUUGCACAAUGGGGGAAACCCUGAUGCAGCGACGCCGCGUGCGGGAUGAAGGCCUUCGGGUUGUAAACCGCUUUCAGCAGGGGCGAAUUCAGACGGUACCUGCAGAAGAAGCGACCGGCUAACUACGUGCCAGCAGCCGC
rnacentral:rRNA from 1 species